AAUCCAUAGGUUAAUGAGGCGAACCGGGGGAACUGAAACAUCUAAGUACCCCGAGGAAAAGAAAUCAACCGAGAUUCCCCCAGUAGCGGCGAGCGAACGGGGAGGAGCCCAGAGCCUGAAUCAGCAUGUGUGUUAGUGGAAGCGUCUGGAAAGGCGCGCGAUACAGGGUGACAGCCCCGUACACAAAAGCGCAUGUGCUGUGAGCUCGAUGAGUAGGGCGGGACACGUGGUAUCCUGUCUGAAUAUGGGGGGACCAUCCUCCAAGGCUAAAUACUCCUGACUGACCGAUAGUGAACCAGUACCGUGAGGGAAAGGCGAAAAGAACCCCGGCGAGGGGAGUGAAAAAGAACCUGAAACCGUGUACGUACAAGCAGUGGGAGCCCCACCACCAAAGCGUUUCGCUUUGUGUGGUGCACAAAGAAGCGUAACGACAGCACUGAAUGACGGUUAACGGAGCGCAAGCGACGUUCAACAUACAAAGUCAAGCAGUGGAGCGCUUUGGGGUGGGGUGACUGCGUACCUUUUGUAUAAUGGGUCAGCGACUUAUAUUCUGUAGCAAGGUUAACCGAAUAGGGGAGCCGGAGGGAAACCGAGUCUUAAU
rnacentral:rRNA from 1 species